UGGAUCCAGACUUUGAUCAUGGCUCAGGAUGAACGCUAGCUACAGGCUUAACACAUGCAAGUCGAGGGGCAGCAUGACAAUAGCUUGCUAUUGUUGAUGGCGACCGGCGCACGGGUGAGUAACGCGUAUCCAACCUGCCCUUAUCCAUCGGAUAACCCGACGAAAGGCGGCCUAACACGAUAUGCAGUCCACAGAAGGCAUCUGACGCGGACAAAAUGUGAAGGAGAAGGAUGGGGAUGCGUCUGAUUAGCUUGUUGGCGGGGUAACGGCCCACCAAGGCGACGAUCAGUAGGGGUUCUGAGAGGAAGGUCCCCCACAUUGGAACUGAGACACGGUCCAAACUCCUACGGGAGGCAGCAGUGAGGAAUAUUGGUCAAUGGGCGAGAGCCUGAGCCAGCCAAGUAGCGUGCAGGAUGACGGCCCUAUGGGUUGUAAACUGCUUUUAUGCGGGGAUAAAGUGAGUCACGUGUGGCUUAUUGCAGGUACCGCAUGAAUAAGGACCGGCUAAUUCCGUGCCAGCAGCCGCGGUAAUACGGAAGGUCCGGGCGUUAUCCGGAUUUAUUGGGUUUAAAGGGAGCGUAGGCCGUCUGAUAAGCGUGUUGUGAAAUGUCGGGGCUCAACCUGGGCAUUGCAGCGCGAACUGUGAGACUUGAGUGCGCGGGAAGUAGGCGGAAUUCGUCGUGUAGCGGUGAAAUGCUUAGAUAUGACGAAGAACUCCGAUUGCGAAGGCAGCCUGCUGUAGCGCAACUGACGCUGAAGCUCGAAAGCGUGGGUAUCGAACAGGAUUAGAUACCCUGGUAGUCCACGCGGUAAACGAUGGAUGCUCGCUGUUUGCGUCUGACGUAAGCGGCCAAGCGAAAGCGUUAAGCAUCCCACCUGGGGAGUACGCCGGCAACGGUGCAACUCAAAUGAAUUGACGGA
rnacentral:rRNA from 1 species